GGGCCCGCACAAGCGGUGGAGUAUGUGGUUUAAUUCGAUGCAACGCGAAGAACCUUACCAGGGUUUGACAUCCUGCGAAUCUCUUGGAAACAGGAGAGUGCCUUCGGGAGCGCAGUGACAGGUGGUGCAUGGCUGUCGUCAGCUCGUGUCGUGAGAUGUUGGGUUAAGUCCCGCAACGAGCGCAACCCACGUCUUUAGUUGCCAGCAUUUAGUUGGGCACUCUAGAGAGACUGCCGGUGAUAAACCGGAGAAGGUGUGGAUGACGUCAAGUCAUCAUGCCCCUUACAUCUGGGCUACACACGUACUACAAUGCUACGGACAAAGAGCAGCAAGUUCGCGAGGACAAGCAAAUCUCAUAAACCGUGGCUC
rnacentral:rRNA from 1 species